GAAACCCGGUGAUCUAGCCAUGGGCAGGUUGAAGGUUGGGUAACACUAACUGGAGGACCGAACCGACUAAUGUUGAAAAAUUAGCGGAUGACCUGUGGCUGGGGGUGAAAGGCCAAUCAAACCGGGAGAUAGCUGGUUCUCCCCGAAAGCUAUUUAGGUAGCGCCUCGUGAAUUCAUCUCCGGGGGUAGAGCACUGUUUCGGCUAGGGGGCCAUCCCGGCUUACCAACCCGAUGCAAACUGCGAAUACCGGAGAAUGUUAUCACGGGAGACACACGGCGGGUGCUAACGUCCGUCGUGAAGAGGGAAACAACCCAGACCGCCAGCUAAGGUCCCAAAGUCAUGGUUAAGUGGGAAACGAUGUGGGAAGGCCCAGACAGCCAGGAUGUUGGCUUAGAAGCAGCCAUCAUUUAAAGAAAGCGUAAUAGCUCACUGGUCGAGUCGGCCUGCGCGGAAGAUGUAACGGGGCUAAACCAUGCACCGAAGCUGCGGCAGCGACACUGUGUGUUGUUGGGUAGGGGAGCGUUCUGUAAGCCUGUGAAGGUGUGUCGUGAGGCAUGCUGGAGGUAUCAGAAGUGCGAAUGCUGACAUAAGUAACGAUAAAGCGGGUGAAAAGCCCGCUCGCCGGAAGACCAAGGGUUCCUGUCCAACGUUAAUCGGGGCAGGGUGAGUCGACCCCUAAGGCGAGGCCGAAAGGCGUAGUCGAUGGGAAACGGGUUAAUAUUCCCGUACUUGGUGUUACUGCGAAGGGGGGACGGAGAAGGCUAUGUUGGCCGGG
rnacentral:rRNA from 2 species